CGCGCAUGAGGAUAUCACCAGCUCCUGAAACACAAGACUGCCACACAUCUGUUCGACCAACGCCAGUUGAUCUAAACGCCAGUUGAUCUGGAACACCGGCAGUGUAGACUUCGUGGCCCAACAUAUCCCAGACUUUAUAGCGCGGCGGUGGUUGUGGAUAAUGGCGGAAGCGGAGCGACCGAAGAGUAAACUUUUAAAACUUAUCACACAUUUGAUUUCCAUGUGUGACAA